rnacentral:snoRNA from 1 species
AUACCAUGGUGAGGGCACUUUCACCAUAAUGCCUUGAACUACGCCCAAGCCUCAUAUAGAGAAUCUUCAUCAAGUUUUUGGAAUGUGUUGAUUUCAUUUCGAAGCUU